rnacentral:rRNA from 1 species
AUUGAACGCUGGCGGCAUGCUUUACACAUGCAAGUCGAACGGUAACAGGCCGCAAGGUGCUGACGAGUGGCGAACGGGUGAGUAAUGCAUCGGAACGUUCCCAGUCGUGGGGGAUAACUACUCGAAAGAGUAGCUAAUACCGCAUACGAUCUAUGGAUGAAAGCGGGGGACCGUAAGGCCUCGCGCGAUUGGAUCGGCCGAUGUCAGAUUAGGUAGGUGGUGGGGUAAAGGCUCACCAAGCCAACGAUCUGAAGCUGGUCUGAGUGGACGACCAGCAGCCCGGGAACGAGGACACGCCGCAACCCCCGAGGGGAGGCAGCGGUGGGAAAUUUAGGACAGGGGGCGGAGGCGUAAUCUAGAAAGCCGCGUGCAGGAAGAAGGCCUUCGGGUGGGAAACUGCUUUUGUACGGAACGAAACGGCUCUGGUUAAUACCCGGGGCUAAUGACGGUACCGUAAGAAUAAGCACCGGCUAACUACGUG